GUCUAAAAUUCAUUGUAAUGCUCUCCUUAAAUUUUUCUGCUUUAAAUAAUUUUCAAUGUUUGACAUAAAACAAUUUAAAUAUCAGUCUUUAAUAAGUCUUAAAUAAAUCAGUCUUAAAUAAAUUUCUCCAGUUACUCAAACUCUUGGAUUUGCUUUUCAAUAUAUAAGAUAUAGAACUGAAAAUUAAUUUUCCAAAAAUUACUCUAAAUGACGAAAAAGUCAUCCUUUAACACAUCGUGACUCGACGCAAAUUACCAAUCUUGAGACUUUUGUCUCCAGACCACGGAGAUAAAAAGAAACGAAAAAGACCUUCCGUUUGCAGAUUCUCAGCAGCCAUCGCAUUUUACAACAGAUCGAUAUGACGAUAUUUUAUUCUUUUAGAUACGGCAGCACUUUCCGCAACACUCUGACACGGCAUAAAUCUUGCCACGGAUGGCAUGUGCAUGACGCUUUCCGUUAUAACAAUAGAAUUAUAAAUGAAUAAAUUAUAAUCUGUUAUACAUUUUCAUAUAAAGUCAUUAUAGUUCAUUAUUCAUUCCCGUCAUUAUUUUAAGCUCAACUAGAAAGAGUCAUUGGGAAUAAUUUUCAUCUCAAACACAUAGAAGAACAGAUAAAGAUUCACUUUAACAGUCUUUUCUAAAAUGAAAAAGACCUUCAACCAAACUGGAAUCAAAUUUUACAGUUCAUCCUUAAUAAUAAAGAUCGGACCAAAUGCUAUUGUCGAAAAACUAAAAGCUCAUAACCUCAAUCCUCUAAGCUGACCAGCGCUUAGAUCCAGUAGAAUGAGAUCUACCGAAUUAAUUUUCCUGCAUUUCUUGCUCAGGCGUACGGACAUGCUUCUGGAAACUGUUUUGUGCCAAAAUACGUCAAAUGUGAGGAAGAUAUGAUUAAAGAUUGUGUGAAAUAUCCAGAUACUUCACCGUAAUGUGCAAACAGUGAGGAUGAACAGCUAACUUCUCAACCUGUCUCAGACUACAAAGAAUCGACAUGGAAAUCAUAUUGUAAUGCACUCUGGAAGGGACGAUCAGGAGGAAAUCCUCAUAAUUCAAUACCAGCUCUUAUCGAAACACUCCCCACUGUAUCUCCACUAGGCUUUUGGUCUUGAUCAAGAAAAUAUCAUCGAGGACCAACGACUUUUUUAGAGAAAGAUUUCUUAAAAAGACAGUUUUUCUAUCAAAAAUACUCUGUUUAAAACUAGUAUCUUGCAUUAACAUCUUCGACAAAAUCGAAGUAAUAGUGGAGGCUGUACAGCUCUUAUUUUCAUAGACAUCAUCUUCAAUCUCAAAUUACCCGGAAUCAUCACGACUUGAGAACGCAUGCUCAAUGCGCAAACUUCUAAAGUUUGAGAUGUUCCUGAGAAGCAACAAUAUCGAAAAA